rnacentral:rRNA from 1 species
AUGGAUAACUGUAGUAAUUCUAGAGCUAAUACAUGCAAUUAUGCCCUGACCCGCAAGGGAACGGGUGCAUUUAUUAGAACAGAACCAACCGGGGGCAGUUUCGGCUGUCUCUGUUGAAUUCUGUGAUGACUCUGGAUAACUUUAAUGAUCGCAGUCGGCCUUGUGUCGGCGACGGAUCUUUCAAAUGUCUGCCCUAUCAAUUUGUUGGUAGGUGAUCUGCCUACCAUGAUAAUAACGGGUAACGGGGAAUCAGGGUUCGAUUCCGGAGAGGGAGCCUGAGAAAUGGCUACCACAUCCAAGGACGGCAGCAGGCGCGAAAAUUACCCACUCCCGGCACGGGGAGGUAGUGACGAAAAAUACGAAUACGGGACUCAAUUGAGGCUCCGUAAUUCGAAUGAGUACAAUUUAAAUCCUUUAACGAGGACCAAUUGGAGGGCAAGUCUGGUGCCAGCAGCCGCGGUAACUCCAGCUCCAAAAGCGUAUAUUAAAGUUGCUGCAGUUAAAAAGCUCGUAGUUGAACCUGGGUUGUGCGGUCGCAUGCCGUUGCUUGUUCGCGGUUUUGGUUACGAUCAGAACUUGUGUUCGGCUCGGUGUAGUGGUUGUGCAGCCUUUCAGCCGUAUCUGUGUAAACGGGUGCUGACGGAGAUGGGUGAGUUUAUUCUUGCCCGCUAUCUGUUGGCAUGCUUCCGGAUGCCUUUAACCGGGUGUCGGGAGCGGACGGCAUCUUUACUUUGA